UACGGGGGGAGCAAGCGUUGUUCGGAUUUACUGGGCGUAGAGGGCGCGUAGGCGGUCAGCACAAGUCAGUUGUGAAAUCUCCGGGCUUAACUCGGAAAGGUCAACUGAUACUGUGCGACUAGGGUGCAGAAGGGGCAACUGGAAUUCUCGGUGUAGCGGUGAAAUGCGUAGAUAUCGAGAGGAACACCUGCGGCGAAGGCGGGUUGCUGGGCUGACACUGACGCUGAUGCGCGAAAGCCAGGGGAGCGAACGGG
rnacentral:rRNA from 1 species